rnacentral:tRNA from 1 species
CCCCCUGUAGCUCAGUUGGUUAGAGCAGAGGACUCAUAAUCCUUUGGUCGCUGGUUCAAGUCCAGCCGGGGGGACCA